rnacentral:ncRNA from 4 species
AGCAUAUCAAUAAGCGGAGGAAAAG